rnacentral:rRNA from 1 species
AUUGAACGCUGGCGGCAGGCUUAACACAUGCAAGUCGAGCGAGUGGCGGACGGGUGAGUAAUGUCUGGGAACCUGCCCGAUGGAGGGGGAUAACUACUCGAAACGGUAGCUAAUACCGCAUACCAUCAGAUGUGCCCAGAUGGGAUUAGCUAGUGGGUGGGGUAAUGGCUCACCUAGGCGACGAUCCCUAGCUGGUCUGAGAGGAUGACCAGCCACACUGGAACUGAGACACGGUCCAGACUCCUACGGGAGGCAGCAGUGGGGAAUAUUGGACAAUGGGCGCAAGCCUGAUGCAGCCAUGCCGCGUGUAUGAAGAAGGCCUUCGGGUUGUAAAGCACUUUCAGCAGGGAGGCGUUAAUCGCAGAAGAAGCACCGGCUAACUCCGUGCCAGCAGCCGCGGUAAUAC